GAUGAACGCUGGCGGCGUGCCUAAUACAUGCAAGUCGAGCGAACAGACGAGGAGCUUGCUCCUCUGACGUUAGCGGCGGACGGGUGAGUAACACGUGGAUAACCUACCUAUAAGACUGGGAUAACUUCGGGAAACCGGAGCUAAUACCGGAUAACAUGUUGAACCGCAUGGUUUAACAGUGAAAGACGGUCUUGCUGUCACUUAUAGAUGGAUCCGCGCCGCAUUAGCUAGUUGGUAAGGUAACGGCUUACCAAGGCAACGAUGCGUAGCCGACCUGAGAGGGUGAUCGGCCACACUGGAACUGAGACACGGUCCAGACUCCUACGGGAGGCAGCAGUAGGGAAUCUUCCGCAAUGGGCGAAAGCCUGACGGAGCAACGCCGCGUGAGUGAAGAAGGUCUUCGGAUCGUAAAACUCUGUUAUUAGGGAAGAACAAAUGUGUAAGUAACUAUGCACGUCUUGACGGUACCUAAUCAGAAAGCCACGGCUAACUACGCG
rnacentral:rRNA from 1 species